CGGGGCGUGGCUCAGUUGGCUAGAGCGCUCGGUUCGGGACCGUGAGGUCACUGGUUCAAAUCCAGUCGCCCCGA
rnacentral:tRNA from 1 species